AGAGUUUGAUCAUGGCUCAGGAUGAACGCUAGCGGCAGGCUUAACACAUGCAAGUCGAGGGGUAUAGUAGCAAUACUAGAGACCGGCGCACGGGUGCGUAACGCGUAUGCAACCUACCUUUUACAGGGGAAUAGCCCAGAGAAAUUUGGAUUAAUGCCCCAUGGUAUAAUUGAAUGGCAUCAUUUAAUUAUUAAAGUUCCAACGGUAAAAGAUGGGCAUGCGUCCUAUUAGCUAGAUGGUAAGGUAACGGCUUACCAUGGCUACGAUAGGUAGGGGUCCUGAGAGGGAGAUCCCCCACACUGGUACUGAGACACGGACCAGACUCCUACGGGAGGCAGCAGUGAGGAAUAUUGGACAAUGGGCGCAAGCCUGAUCCAGCCAUGCCGCGUGCAGGAAGACGCAUCUAUGGUGUGUAAACUGCUUUUGUACGGGAAGAAACACUCCUACGUGUAGGGGCUUGACGGUACCGUAAGAAUAAGAU
rnacentral:rRNA from 1 species